AACGAACGCUGGCGGCAUGCCUAACACAUGCAAGUCGAACGAGACCUUCGGGUCUAGUGGCGCACGGGUGCGUAACGCGUGGGAACCUGCCCUUAGGUUCGGAAUAACUCCCCGAAAGGGGUGCUAAUACCGGAUAAUGUCUUCGGACCAAAGAUUUAUCGCCUUUGGAUGGGCCCGCGUUGGAUUAGCUAGUUGGUAGGGUAAAAGCCUACCAAGGCGACGAUCCAUAGCUGGUCUGAGAGGAUGAUCAGCCACACUGGGACUGAGACACGGCCCAGACUCCUACGGGAGGCAGCAGUGGGGAAUAUUGGACCAGGGGCGAAAGCCUGAGCCAGCAAUGCCGCGUGAGUGAUGAAGGCCUUAGGGUUGUAAAGCUCUUUUACCCGGGAUGAUAAUGACAGUACCGGGAGAAUAAGCCCCGGCUAACUCCGUG
rnacentral:rRNA from 1 species